UAGGUGAACUGCCCAAGGAUCAUUGUUG
rnacentral:rRNA from 1 species